rnacentral:rRNA from 1 species
UACGGGGGGGGCAAGCGUUGUUCGGAAUUACUGGGCGUAAAGGGCUCGUAGGCGGCCAACUAAGUCAGACGUGAAAUCCCUCGGCUUAACCGGGGAACUGCGUCUGAUACUGGAUGGCUUGAGUUCGGGAGAGGGAUGCGGAAUUCCAGGUGUAGCGGUGAAAUGCGUAGAUAUCGGAAGGAACAUCAGUGGCGAAAGCGACUUCCUGGACCAGUACCGACGUUCAGGCACGAAAGCGUGGGGAGCAAACAGG